GUCUCAAGGAACUAUUGUUAUCUUUUGCCAGGACAGAAGCUUCUAAAUCUGCAGGAAGACCUUUCCUCUCGAAAUCCUGCCCACAUGAUUUACCUACCAACAUGACUGCACAGUAAAGUUCAGAAGGCACUGAAGAAACCUGAAGCUUAAUGCUGACACAAUGUGAGCAGUAGAUGGCAAUGUCACAACAUAUCCAUCACUUCUACUCAUGGGAUCAAGGGUGUUGGGAUCAUGGAUGUAGUCACCAUUUCUGCAUCACCAUCUACCAAGGUGGCAGUGGAAGGUGGAGUUUGCAAUGGAGUUGAGCUCAGGUGACAGACUGCUUCACUCCUGGAAGCAUUCCAGUUCACGGUGAUUUUCCAUCCUGGAUCUGCAUAAACUACCGGGAUAGACAAGCCCGUGUAAUCUUUCAGAAAUUCCUCAUCAGCUGUGACAUGUUUGAAUUCCUUCCAAGGUACCCAAGCCUAUUAACUUUCCACUUUCAACCUUCAUCCUCCUCCUCUCUGGGCAACUGUUGUUAGCUGCCUUUCUUGCCCUCUGCUGCCCUCCCUCUAGCAGGCAGGAGGAGAGUGUACAUCAUGCUGACAUCUACAGCAGGACAGUGCUCAUUGUCAAGUCAAACAUCAGGCAGAUGUAUGGUUGUACAGCAAUGAA